CCUACGGGUGGCAGCAGUGGGGAAUAUUGCACAAUGGGCGCAAGCCUGAUGCAGCCAUGCCGCGUGUGUGAAGAAGGCCUUCGGGUUGUAAAGCACUUUCAGCGGGGAGGAAGGCGGUGAGGUUAAUAACCUCAUCGAUUGACGUUACCCGCAGAAGAAGCACCGGCUAACUCCGUGCCAGCAGCCGCGGUAAUACGGAGGGUGCAAGCGUUAAUCGGAAUUACUGGGCGUAAAGCGCACGCAGGCGGUCUGUCAAGUCGGAUGUGAAAUCCCCGGGCUCAACCUGGGAACUGCAUUCGAAACUGGCAGGCUAGAGUCUUGUAGAGGGGGGUAGAAUUCCAGGUGUAGCGGUGAAAUGCGUAGAGAUCGGGAGGAAUACCGGUGGCGAAGGCGGCCCCCUGGACAAAGACUGACGCUCAGGUGCGAAAGCGUGGGGAGCAAACAGGAUUAGAUACCCCAGUAGUC
rnacentral:rRNA from 1 species